GUGCCAGCCGCCGCGGUAAGACAGAGGUGGCGAGCGUUGUUCGGAAUUACUGGGCUUAAAGGGCGAGUAGGCGGUGGGACAAGUCUGAUGUGGAAUCUUAGGGCUUAACCCUAAAACUGCAUUAGAAACUGUUUUACUUGAGUCAGUGAGGGGAGGGCGGAAUUCCCGGUGUAGCGGUGAAAUGCGUAGAUAUCGGGAGGAAGGCCGGUGGCGAAGGCGGCCCUCUGGCACUGUACUGACGCUGAGGCGCGAAAGCGUGGGGAGCAAACAGGAUUAGAUACCCCCGUAGUCC
rnacentral:rRNA from 1 species